rnacentral:lncRNA from 9 species
AUGGGGACUGUACCUGAUCCCCUGAGAUCAGCUAAAACAUCUCUGAUCGCGGCUUCUGGAAAAGAAGAGGAUCCAGGAGAGGCACGAGCUGCCUCAUCCCAGCCUCGACCGGCCCUCCUGUGUAAGAACACAAAUGGCUUUUCCAGCCCUCCUGAAGAAGCAGACCUGAGCCCCAAGCCAGCUGCUGUGGCUCUGAUGCAGGCCGGUGAGCAUGAGACCCCCCGGCCAGCCAGCUCUUCUCCGGGCACUGUCAGUGAGGUGGGGAAAGCCUCUCCCACACUCAACUCCCCUGGCAAUACCCAGCUGCCAGGGAGCCGGGAGCCCACAGCACCAGCCCCGUGUUCUGAGGCAGGAAGGGAUCUUCUUAUGCACGCAGCCUUUACAAUGCCAGGCGAUGGGCACACCCACCCGGCCAUCCCAGGGCACCAGCCCAACACCAGCCCCCCAUCAGGACCUGAAGAUACCCCGGUGAAAUCAGAGAGAACUUCAGAUGGGGAGAAACCUGAGAAGUCAAACUGUCCCGUGGGGGGCAUCUGUGAAACAAUCCCUGGAAUGGUGGUGGCACCCAGUCUUGCCUCCACUCCUACAGGUGGACCUGAAAGGGAAAGGCAGCGAGCCCUUUGUGAUUCCCAGACAAGGCAAGACCCUCCAGCGAGAGAAGAUGGAUGUUCAGGGGAUAAACGGCCCUCUGCCGCCACCUCAGACACCCAGGCCAUGACUUCGGGGACACCUCAGCCAUCUCACCUCCCUGGCCAAGAGUCGACGUUGCCUCCAGAUCCAGAGAAGGCGCCGCUGCCAGCACCGCUCCGGGGGUCAAUGUUCAAAGAAGCAAGUACCAUGACCAACCAAGCCGAAAAUGAGCCCGAGGACGUUCCCACCAGGGCUCGGCAGGAUGCGGAAGUGCAGGCGGUGGCCAGUGUGGAGAGCAGAUCCGUGUCCACCAGCCCCAGCAUCCUCACUGCAUUCUUAAAGGAAACUCCGGCUCCAGAGCGGUUCGAACCACAAGAGCAGCUGCGUGUGGUUUGCCACGAGAGCAGCAGCAGCAAGGUGCACAUCCAGGCUGCUGCAGCUGUGUCGGCAGCUUUGGAAUGUAAAUCAGUGAGCCCACUGGGUGGGGUCCCUAAAACCUCAUCAGUCAACGUGGCUCAGGAUGCAUGUAAAGAAGACGGGAGGUCAGCACGCAUGACCCCAGCAAGGGAAGAGCCCGCCUCCAGACAGCUUUUGGGUACCCACUCUACCUCCCUGAAAGCUAGCCCCAGUGACCAGAUUUCUCUCAGUGCAGGACAUCAGGCUGAAACAAGUCUUGGGAAAUUUGAAAUGAAGCCAUCUGAGUUUGCAGCGGAAAGCAACAAUGGCCACAAAACUGACCCAGACUGCAAAUUCUCCAGCUCCUGUGGCCCUGCCAACAAAGCUGACCAGUCUGAAAGCUUGGAUCUUGCUGGUAAAGGGGAUACAAGAGAAAAGAGGCUUGCAUCUCCUCAGAUAGUAAAAGAAGAACCUCCUGAAGCCAAAACCCUACUGCUCCAUCCCAAGUCUCAAGAAAGCAGAGGGGCAGCGCCAGCCUCCAGUCCUACACCCUCCCCAGUUAGAAAAAGCCAGGAGGUCACCGUGGAAGACAACAGACAGACCAAGACGGCCGCCAGCCUCAGCCUGCCAUCUGAUGCCAUGGGGGACUCCAGCCCAGGUUCUGGCAAGAGGACCCCUUCUCGCUCUGUCAAAGCCAGCCCCCGCCGGGGCAGCCGGGUCAGCGAAUUCCUCAAGGAGCAAAAGUUAAACGUGACAGCGGCGGCCGCCCAGGUGGGACUCACUCCAGGAGAGAAGAAAAAGCAGCUUGGUGCCGAGUCCAAGCUGCAGUUGAAACAGUCCAAGCGUGUCCGGGAUGUGGUGUGGGACGAGCAGGGCAUGACCUGGGAGGUGUAUGGAGCUUCCCUGGACCCGGAGUCCCUGGGCAUCGCCAUCCAGAACCAUUUGCAAAGACAGAUCAGGGAACACGAGAAAUUAAUCAAAGCUCAAAACAGCCAGAGCCGGAGAUCCAUCUCCUCGGAUGCUUCUUCAAACAAAAAGCUCAAAGGCAGGCAGCACAGUGUUUUCCAGUCCAUGCUGCAGAACUUCCGACGCCCCAACUGCUGUGUUCGCCCUGCUCCUUCUUCUGUGUUAGAUUGA